rnacentral:rRNA from 1 species
CCUGAACGCUGGCGGCGUGGCUAAGACAUGCAAGUCGUACGGGUGUAGCAAUACACCAGUGGCGGACGGGUGAGUAAUGUAUCGCUAACGUGCCCUUCAGUCCAGGAUAGCCGAGGGAAACUUCGGGUAAUACCGGUUGACAUCACGAGCAGGCAUCUGCUUGUGCUCAAAGGCGUAAGCCGCUGAAGGAGCGGGCGAUAUCGUAUCAGCUUGUUGGCGGGGUAACGGCCCACCAAGGCGACGACGCGUAGCCGGACUGAGAGGUUGGCCGGCCACAUUGGGACUGAGACACUGCCCAGACUCCUACGGGGGGCUGCAGUAACGAAUCUUCCGCAAUGCACGCAAGUGUGACGGAGCGACGCCGCGUGUGGGACGAAGCCCCUCGGGGUGUAAACCACUGUCAGGGGAUAGAAAGUUCUGAUCAUCCCCAGAGGAAGGCACGGCUAACUCUGUGCCAGCAGCCGCGGUAAGACAGAGGUGCCAAGCGUUAGGCGGAAUCACUGGGCUUAAAGCGUGUGUAGGCGGACCGUUAAGUACCUUGUGAAAUCCCCCGGCUCAACCGGGGAACUGCUGGGUAUACUGGCG